UCUGGGUCGGCAGGGGUUUCCGG
rnacentral:miRNA from 1 species